CGAUACGUAGUGUGAAUUGCAGAAUUCCGUGAACCAUCGAAUCUUUGAACGCAAAUUGCGCCCGAGGCUUCGGCCGAGGGCAUGUCUGCCUCAGCGUCGGCUUACCCCCUCGCCUCCCCUUCACUGGGUGAGUGCGGAUCUGGCCCUCCCGGCUCCGACUGAACUUGUUCAGUCAUCCGGGUCGGCUGAAGUGCAGAGGCUUGAGCAUGGACCCCGUUUGCAGGGCAAUGGCUUGGUAGGUAGCUUUGCUACGCAGCCUGCCGUCGCCCGAGGGGCCUUUGCUGGCGGCCCAGCAGGAACCGGGGCGUUAAACCCCCGGCGUCUCACACUUUCGACCUGAGCUCAGGCAAGAUUACCCGCUGAACUUAAGCAUAUCAAUAAGCGGAGGAAAAGAAACUAACUAGGAUGCCCUUAGUAACGGCGAGCGAACCGGGCAAAGCCCAACUUGAAAAUCUCCAGCCUCCGGCUGGCGAAUUGUAGUCUAGAGAAGCGCUCUCUGCGCCAGUCCGGCCCCAAGUCCCCUGGAAAGGGGCGUCAGAGAGGGUGAGAACCCCGUUGGGACCGGAUCCUGGUGCUCCACGAGACGCUUUCGCAGAGUCGGGUUGUUUGGGAAUGCAGCCCAAAGCAGGUGGUAAAUCCCAUCUAAGGCUAAAUACAGACGGGAGACCGAUAGCGAACAAGUACCGUG
rnacentral:rRNA from 1 species